AUUGAACGCUGGCGGCAUGCCUUACACAUGCAAGUCGAACGGCAGCACGGGUGCUUGCACCUGGUGGCGAGUGGCGAACGGGUGAGUAAUACAUCGGAACAUGUCCUGUAGUGGGGGAUAGCCCGGCGAAAGCCGGAUUAAUACCGCAUACGAUCUACGGAUGAAAGCGGGGGACCUUCGGGCCUCGCGCUAUAGGGUUGGCCGAUGGCUGAUUAGCUAGUUGGUGGGGUAAAGGCCUACCAAGGCGACGAUCAGUAGCUGGUCUGAGAGGACGACCAGCCACACUGGGACUGAGACACGGCCCAGACUCCUACGGGAGGCAGCAGUGGGGAAUUUUGGACAAUGGGCGAAAGCCUGAUCCAGCAAUGCCGCGUGUGUGAAGAAGGCCUUCGGGUUGUAAAGCACUUUUGUCCGGAAAGAAAUCCUUGGCCCUAAUACGGCCGGGGGAUGACGGUACCGGAAGAAUAAGCACCGGCUAACUACGUG
rnacentral:rRNA from 1 species